AUUUGCAGUUAAUAAACUUACAGUUCUGCAAAUACUGUAAGUAAAAUAAAUAAAUGACUUCCGUUAUGAAGAACCACAUAUGUGAAUGUCACUGUGAGGAGACAGCAUGUAUUUAUUUGUGAUUUAUAAUGAAUUUGAUUCUUAACGAUGGAUAUAUAACAAUGAGGGAGGAGCUGAAAUAGGAAGAAAUAAAGAAAAAAAAAUGAGCUCAUUACUGCAAUGCUUCUGACUUAAGCUUUUUCUAGGAAUCAGCCAAUGGAACAGGUGUUGAGCGGCAUGCAGAAGUGGCACCAGAACUCACAUCACAAAUAACGUGAAUCCUUCAUAACAAAUCCUGUUGACUGUAUCAUCUGUACCUUCAUCACUAGUGAUUGUCAUGAUUGUAACAACACUGGCUUUUUAAUUAUCAUAUCAAGAUACUACCAGUACUAAAUUGAAAGUAGCAGAUAAUCCAGUGUCCCAGAGAAGGUUUUCUUUUCGUGAUUUGAGAUUCAGGCAGAUACUUCCACAUUAAGUUCUUUCUUUUUUUGUUCACAGCUAUGAGAGCCAGAGGUUGAAUCUUUAAAAACUUUAAAAACAAAUUGCAGAGAGAAAUAUGGCACCCUUAAAAAUAUUACAAGUUCACUGACCUAAUACUGGUAGGACAAGUUUGAGCCUUGAACUUAUUCCUCAGAAAGAAGGCUUACUGGAGGACUGUUGAGAUAAAACCACAUAUUUAAGGCACAAAAAAAAAUGGAAAAAUGAAAGGAGAGUCACAAAAGCUUUGUACUGGUCCCAAGAAGAAAUAAGGGUCUGAGAAGACAUGAGAUAAACUGACUCAUAGAAUCACAGAAUUAUAGAAUCCUUAGAGUUGGAAGGGACCUCUAAAAGUCAUCUAGUCCUACAACCCUUCCAUGAACAGGGACAUAUACAGCUAGAUGAAGUUGCUCAGAGGCUGGUCCAGCCUUGAAUACCUUCAGGGACAGGGACUCCAUCACAUCUCUGGGUAACCUGUGACAGUGCCUCAACACUCUCACUGGAAAAUACAUUUUCCUUACAUCCAACCUAAAUCUACCCUCUUUUAAGUUUAAAAUCAUUUCCUCUUGUUCUAUCACAACUGACCAUGCUAAAGAGCCUGCCCCCUCCCUUCUUAUAGACCCCUUUAGGUACUGAGAGGCUGCUCUCAGGUCUCCACAGAGCCUUCUCUUCUCCAGGCUGAUCAGCCUCAGCUCUCUCAGCCUGUCCUUGUAGGGCAGGUGUUCCAUCCUUUGGAUCACUUCUGUGGCCUUUCUCUGGGCUCUGUACAGAGUAGAGAGGCAGGAUCAUCUCCCUCACCCUCCUGG
ensembl:lncRNA